rnacentral:rRNA from 1 species
AUUGAACGCUGGCGGAAUGCUUUACACAUGCAAGUCGAACGGCAGCACGGACUUCGGUCUGGUGGCGAGUGGCGAACGGGUGAGUAAUACAUCGGAACGUGCCCAAUCGUGGGGGAUAACGUAGCGAAAGCUACGCUAAUACCGCAUACGAUCUAAGGAUGAAAGCGGGGGAUCGCAAGACCUCGCGCGAUUGGAGCGGCCGAUGGCAGAGUAGGUAGUUGGUAGGGUAAAGGCCUACCAAGCCGACGAUCUGUAGCUGGUCUGAGAGGAUGAUCAGCCACACUGGGACUGAGACACGGCCCAGACUCCUACGGGAGGCAGCAGUGGGGAAUUUUGGACAAUGGACGCAAGUCUGAUCCAGCCAUUCCGCGUGCGGGAUGAAGGCCCACGGGUUGUAAACUGCUUUUGUACAGAACGAAAAGGCUCUGGUUAAUACCUAGGGCUCAUGACGGUACUGUAAGAAUAAGCACCGGCUAACUACGUGCCAGCCGCCGCAGUAA